rnacentral:rRNA from 1 species
AUCAACGCUGGCGGCGCGCUUAACACAUGCAAGUCGCACGAGAAAGCUGGAGCAAUCCGGUGAGUAAAGUGGCGCACGGGUGAGUAACACGUGGGUAAUCUACCUUCUUGUGGGGAAUAACCCUGGGAAACCGGGGCUAAUACCGCAUAAGCCCGAAAGGGGAAGCAGCAAUGCGCAGGAAGAGGAGCCCGCGGCCGAUUAGCUAGUUGGUAGGGUAAAGGCCUACCAAGGCAUUGAUCGGUAGCCGGCCUGAGAGGGCACACGGCCACACUGGCACUGAAACACGGGCCAGACUCCUACGGGAGGCAGCAGUGGGGAAUCUUGCACAAUGGGGGAAACCCUGAUGCAGCGACGCCGCGUGAGCGAUGAAGCCCUUCGGGGUGUAAAGCUCUUUCGGGCAGGAACGAUAAUGACGGUACCUGCAGAAGAAGUUGCGGCUAACUACGUGCCAGCAGCCGCGGUAAUU